GAUGAACGCUGGCGGCGUGCCUAAUACAUGCAAGUCGAGCGAACAGACGAGGAGCUUGCUCCUUCGACGUUAGCGGCGGACGGGUGAGUAACACGUAGGUAACCUACCUAUAAGACUGGGAUAACUUCGGGAAACCGGAGCUAAUACCGGAUAAUAUUUCUAACCGCAUGGUUCGAUAGUGAAAGAUGGCUUUGCUAUCACUUAUAGAUGGACCUGCGCCGUAUUAGCUAGUUGGUAAGGUAACGGCUUACCAAGGCAACGAUACGUAGCCGACCUGAGAGGGUGAUAGGCGACACUGGAACUGAGACACGGUCCAGACGCCUACGGGAGGCAGCAGUAGGGACUAUUCAGCAAUGGGCGAAAGUCUGACGGAGCAACGCCGAGUGAGUGAUGAAGGUCUUCGGAUCGUAAAACUCUGUUAUUAGGGAAGAACAAAUGUGUAAGUAACUAUGCACGUCUCGACGGUACCUAAGCAGAAAGCCACGGCUAACUACGUG
rnacentral:rRNA from 1 species